GCACCCGCACAAGUAGUGGAGCAUGUGGUUUAAUUCGAAGAUACGCGCAGAACCUUACCAACACUUGGACAUGUUCGUCGCGACUCUAAGAGAUUAGAGUUUUCGGUUCGGCCGGACGAAACACAGGUGCUGCAUGGCUGUCGUCAGCUCGUGUCGUGAGAUGUUGGGUUAAGUCCCGCAACGAGCGCAACCCUCACUUUUAGUUGCCAUCAUUAAGUUGGGCACUCUGAAAGAACUGCCAGUGAUAAGCUGGAGGAAGGUGGGGAUGACGUCAAGUCCUCAUGGCCCUUACGUGUUGGGCUACACACGUGCUACAAUGGUCGGUACAGAAAGCAGCCACUAUCAGAAUAGGAG
rnacentral:rRNA from 1 species